UGGGGAAUCUUGCACAAUGGGGGAAACCCUGAUGCAGCGACGCCGCGUGAGCGAUGAAGGUUUUCGAAUCGUAAAGCUCUGUCCUAUGGGAAGAUAAUGACGGUACCAUAGGAGGAAGCCCCGGCUAACUACGUGCCAGCAGCCGCGGUAAUACGUAGGGGGCGAGCGUUGUCCGGAAUUACUGGGCGUAAAGGGUUCGCAGGCGGCAUGACAAGUACGAUGUAAAAGGCGAAAGCUCAACUUUCGUAAGCAUCGGAAACUGUCAAGCUUGAGUGAAGGGAAGGCAAGUGGAAUUCCUAGUGUAGCGGUAGAAUGCGUAGAUAUUAGGAGGAAUACCGGUGGCGAGGGCAACUUGCUGGACUUCAACUGCCGCUGAGGAACGAAAGCGUGGGUAGCAAACAGG
rnacentral:rRNA from 1 species